GACGAACGCUGGCGGCGCGCUUAACACAUGCAAGUCGAGCGGUAAGGCCCUUUCGGGGGUACACGAGCGGCGAACGGGUGAGUAACACGUGGGUGACCUGCCUUUAGCUCUGGGAUAAGCCUGGGAAACUGGGUCUAAUACCGGAUACGACUCCGCGGUGCAUGCUGUGGGGUGGAAAGCCUUGUGCGGCUGGAGAUGGGCCCGCGGCCUAUCAGCUUGUUGGUGGGGUGAUGGCCACCAAGGCGACGACGGGUAGCCGGCCUGAGAGGGCGACCGGCCGACACUGGGACUGAGACACGGCCCAGACUCCUACGGGAGGCAGCAGUGGGGAAUCUUGCGCAAUGGGCGAAAGCCUGACGCAGCGACGCCGCGUGAGGGAUGACGGCCU
rnacentral:rRNA from 1 species